CCCCACCCUGUCUCUCUCUCUCUACCCACCGCCACCAUCACCAACCUCCCCCAUCCCAUCCCUCUGACCACAUCUGUCCCCGCCCCCGCCCCGGUACCUGUAGGUGCUCCAUCAGCUGGCGGACAUAGCGGUCCCGGUCAGACGCCACGGGGCAGUGUGAUUGUAGGUAGAGGACGGGAGCGGUGCCGAGGCGGCGGAGGAGGUUCUUCCGUUGGAGGGAGGUGACGGGCGGGUGGUGGAGGUAGCGGUCGGCGGGCAGCCACUGGAGGGUCAGCGGGUAGUCGGAGUGUCGGCGGAAGGUGGCGGUGUAGUUGAAGAGGCGGAUGGCGGCGGCCUGAGACAGCAGAUGCUGCUGGAAUUUCCCGGCAAUUUCUGUUUGGCCUCCUUCCCAGUGGUCGCGUCGUUGCCCCUGUUUUUACGACAGCGCGCUGUUCCAUUCUACGCCCGAAGGUCAAUCAGCACGGGUGCCACUUUACGAUAGAAGGUCAUUCCCCCGACACUCCAGUUGGAAAACUUUCAGGUGCUGAUUGGUUAUCUUGCCCCACCAAUCAGCAGCCAGAACAGAUUUAACCCCUCAAGUGCCUUGUUGGUGUGAGCAGAGAACUCAAAAUGCUUUCUGCAAGAUAAAAUUGUGGCCUUUGGGUCAAAUGAGAGUAGACUUA